UACGGAGGGUGCAAGCGUUAAUCGGAAUUACUGGGCGUAAAGAGUGCGUAGGUGGUUAAUUAAGUUAUCUGUGAAAUCCCUGGGCUCAACCUGGGCAGGUCAGAUGAUACUGAUUAACUCGAGUACGGGAGAGGGUAGUGGAAUUUACGGUGUAGCAGUGAAAUGCGUAGAUAUCGUGAGGAAGACCAGUGGCGAAGGCGAGUCUCUGGACAGCAACUGACGCUGAGGCACGAAAGCAUGGGGAGCAAAAGGG
rnacentral:rRNA from 1 species